AUUGAACGCUGGCGGCAGGCCUAACACAUGCAAGUCGAGCGGAUGAAGGGAGCUUGCUCCUGGAUUCAGCGGCGGACGGGUGAGUAAUGCCUAGGAAUCUGCCUGGUAGUGGGGGAUAACGUCCGGAAACGGGCGCUAAUACCGCAUACGUCCUGAGGGAGAGAGUGGGGGAUCUUCGGACCUCACGCUAUCAGAUGAGCCUAGGUCGGAUUAGCUAGUUGGUGGGGUAAAGGCCUACCGAGGCGACGAUCCGUAACUGGUCUGAGAGGAUGAUCAGUCACACUGGAACUGGGACACGGUCCAGACUCCAACGGGAGGCAGCAGUGGGGAAUAUUGGACAAUGGGCGAAAGCCUGAUCCAGCCAUGCCGCGUGUGUGAAGAAGGUCUUCGGAUUGUAAAGCACUUUAAGUUGGGAGGAAGGGCAGUAAGUUAAUACCUUGCUGUUUUGACGUUACCAACAGAAUAAGCACCGGCUAACUUCGUG
rnacentral:rRNA from 1 species